GACGAACGCUGGCGGCGUGCCUAAUACAUGCAAGUAGAACGCUGAAGAGAGGAGCUUGCUCUUCUUGGAUGAGUUGCGAACGGGUGAGUAACGCGUAGGUAACCUGCCUUGUAGCGGGGGAUAACUAUUGGAAACGAUAGCUAAUACCGCAUAACAAUAGGUGACACAUGUCAUUUAUUUGAAAGGGGCAAUUGCUCCACUACAAGAUGGACCUGCGUUGUAUUAGCUAGUAGGUGAGGUAACGGCUCACCUAGGCGACGAUACAUAGCCGACCCGAGAGGGUGGUCGGCCACCCCGGGACUGGGACCCGGCCCCGGCUCCUAAGGGAGGCAGCAGUAGGGUAUCUUCGGCAAUGGGGGCAAACCUGACCGAGCGACGCCGCGUGAGUGAAGAAGGUUUUCGGGUCGUAAAGCUCUGUUGUAAGUCAAGAACGAGUGUGAGAGUGGAAAGUUCACACUGUGACGGUAGCUUACCAGAAAGGGACGGCUAACUACGUG
rnacentral:rRNA from 1 species